UUUCUGAAUGACGAGCUGCUAUAUUAAUGCAUAUACAGUUAACCAAGAGUCAACGAUCUUGGCAUGGCGCCUCGUUUAGGCGAAACUAGAUUCGAAGAAGGUCGAGGAAACGGUCGUCACCGGCUGAAUUUCAAAUAUUUCAAACGGAAAGCUUUUUGAGAAAGGAAGUCUACAAAAUCUGUGAAUAAUUUUUCAACGUAAUUAAAUUCGAAAGAAUAGAAAAUUUCAUAAAUCUCUACACACCUCCUAUACAAGAAAGAAGGAGGAGCAUGUAAAGGAUCGAAAAGAUCGGUGAUUCGCAAUUAAUGUCAUUACACUUUUCUUUGACGUUCCUAGAAAAGACAGGAAACCGUGAAAGCAUCACGAUACGAGCGCGACUCUUUCUUUUCACUACGUGAAAUGCCUUUCGAAAGUAGUAUUUCGUAGAUUUGGAAUGACCAAAGAGUACCGUUGCCCAUGAAAGACAAGAUAGAGGUAUACUCGAGCCAACCAACUUGAGCAUGUGUGUAUACACAUGCCAUGUACAUACAUUCUUUACAGCCGGUGAUAGCGCAUUGCAUUCUGGGUCACGUGCUUUUCGAUACGCGUGUACACGAUAUGCCA